rnacentral:rRNA from 1 species
GGGGAAUAUUGCACAAUGGGCGAAAGCCUGAUGCAGCGACGCCGCGUGAGGGAUGGAGGCCUUCGGGUUGUAAACCUCUUUCGCUCAUGGUCAAGCCGCAGCUUUGGGUUGUGGUGAGGGUAGUGGGUAAAGAAGCGCCGGCUAACUACGUGCCAGCAGCCGCGGUAAUACGUAGGGCGCGAGCGUUGUCCGGAAUUAUUGGGCGUAAAGGGCUUGUAGGCGGUUGGUCGCGUCUGCCGUGAAAUCCUCUGGCUUAACUGGGGGCGUGCGGUGGGUACGGGCUGACUUGGGUGCGGUAGGGGAGACUGGAACUCCUGGUGUAGCGGUGGAAUGCGCAGAUAUCAGGAAGAACACCGGUGGCGAAGGCGGGUCUCUGGGCCGUUACUGACGCUGAGGAGCGAAAGCGUGGGGAGCGAACAGGAUUAGAUACCCUGGUAGUCCACGCUGUAAACGUUGGGCACUAGGUGUGGGGGCCACCCGUGGUUUCUGCGCCGUAGCUAACGCUUUAAGUGCCCCGCCUGGGGAGUACGGCCGCAAGGCUA